rnacentral:rRNA from 1 species
GGGCCCGCACAAGCGGUGGAGCAUGUGGUUUAAUUCGAUGCAACGCGAAGAACCUUACCAGGGCUUGACAUACUACGAAUUCUCUUGAAAAAGAGAAGUGCCUUCGGGAAUGUAGAUACAGGUGGUGCAUGGCUGUCGUCAGCUCGUGUCGUGAGAUGUUGGGUUAAGUCCCGCAACGAGCGCAACCCUUAUUUUUAGUUACCAAUUCGUUGGGUUUUUUAGAAAGACUGCCGGUGACAAACCGGAGGAAGGUGAGGAUGACGUCAAGUCAGCAUGCCCCUUAUGUCCUGGGCUACACACGUGCUACAAUGGUUAAGACAAAGAGUCGCGAGCUUGCAAAAGUCAGCUAAUCUCGUAAACUUAGCCUAAGUUCAGAUUGUAGGCUGCAACUCGCCUGCAUGAAGUUGGAAUCGCUAGUAAUCGC